rnacentral:rRNA from 1 species
GACGAACGCUGGCGGCGUGCCUAAUACAUGCAAGUCGAACGCAGUGGGGACGGGUGAGUAAAACGUGGGUUACCUCCCAUCAUUGGGGAUAACAUUUGGCAACAGGUGCUAAACCGAUACUGAUGGAUGCACCAGCUGUUCAUUAGCUAGUUGGUGGGGUAACGGCUCACCAAGGCCACGAUGCAUAGCCGACCUUGGAGGGUGAUCGGCCACACUGGAACUGAGACACGGCCCAGACUCCUACGGGAGGCAGCAGUAGGGAAUCUUGGGCAAUGGACGAAAGUCUGACCGAGCAACGCCGCGUGAGUGAAGAAGGUUUUCGGAUCGUAAAACUCUGUUGUUAGGGAAGCGGUAUCUAACCAGAAAGCCACGGCUAACUACGUGCCAGCAGCCGCGGUAAUUC